rnacentral:rRNA from 1 species
UACGGGGGGAGCAAGCGUUGUUCGGAAUUACUGGGCGUAAAGCGUGCGUAGGCGGUUUGUUAAGUCCGCUGUGAAAGCCCUGGGCUCAACCUGGGAAUUGCAGUGGAUACUGGCAAGCUAGAGUGCGGUAGAGGAUGGUGGAAUUCCCGGUGUAGCGGUGAAAUGCGUAGAGAUCGGGAGGAACACCUGUGGCGAAGGCGGCCAUCUGGACCAGCACUGACGCUGAGGCACGAAAGCGUGGGGAGCAAACGGG